CUACAAGGGUAUCUAAUCCUGUUUGCUCCCCAUGCUUUCGUACCUCAGCGUCAGUGUUAGGCCAGAUGGCUGCCUUCGCCAUCGGUAUUCCUCCAGAUCUCUACGCAUUUCACCGCUACACCUGGAAUUCUACCAUCCUCUCCCACACUCUAGCUAACCAGUAUCGAAUGCAAUUCCCAAGUUAAGCUCGGGGAUUUCACAUCCGACUCAAUUAGCCGCCUACGCACGCUUUACGCCCAGUAAAUCCGAUUAACGCUCGCACCCUCUGUAUUACCGCGGCUGCUGGCAC
rnacentral:rRNA from 1 species